UUUCGUAGGGCUCUAUCUCGACGGGACCGCCCUCGUCGCCUCACUCGCGCUCCGAUUACGCUGUUGUUUCAAUCCCUACCCAUCUUCCCCAUUCGAUCUUUCUCUUUACUUGUUGUUGAUGUAUCUAUUAGUUGAUCGAUUGCUGCUUUCCGUGUUGUUACUUGAAUCUGAAGUUCUAUUGUCUGUAGCCAUAUGCAACAUGGAUCAUAACAGUAGAACAUUUGCCCCUAUUUGAUGGCCUUUGGUUUGGUUACAUGUUCCAAGGGCUUGUUUUUGCUGAAAAUUAUAGAUAUUUUAUAUAUGAGAUGCUCUGUAUUAUGCUUUUGGACAUGGAAAAGGAAAUUGAUUGGGCAUGAUUUUGUGUUUGGUUGCCCAAUAAACCUAUGAGCUUCAUUUAGAAGAGCUUGGUCUGUCAAAAUCAUAUGCAAGGAAGGCAGAAGAAAACUGUGAUGUGAAAAUUUCGGAAAGAAAACUGAUAAAGAAGUACAACAAACUUGUACCUUGGCGUUUGCCCGAAAAUCUUGCAGUUUUCUUAAUCGCCUGCUUCAUUCUUCUCAAGUUCAUCACAGGCUGCUGGAAAGCUCAAAUCAUGCUUUGAAAAGAGGUGGAGACAAAAACCAGACUAGAAAAUGUCACUGUAUGCCCCAUCAGAGAUCUAGCAAUAGUGCACAAGAACAAGGAUUUGUCGUUUUGCUCCAAAACAAAUGUCUCUGUUUAUUUCCCUGUCAACUGAAGAACAAAUGAAUUCUCCUCCUGUCAACUGAUGAAACAUUUUGGCUACAUGCUCUUGUGUUCAGCAAGCCUGAACUAGUGGAAGUUAUGAUCAAAGAAUAUUUGGUCAACUUGAUCA